ACUAGAUGGGCCAAAUGGUUCUUGUCUGCCGUCACAUUCUAUGUUUCUAUACUGUGCACCAAACCCACAAGUGAUGAGGUACACAACAUGCUUGGAGGAACAUGAAAUCCGGCUCUGAAUUUUAAACAUCUCCUUAGUCUCGGUACUUUUAAAUUCACUAUAUGAUGUAAAUGAAUAUCUGCACGCCUUACAUUUUCCACACGUGUAGAAUCCAGUAGGAGAUGUAGUUCCCUCUAUCUUCCCCCUGAACGUACUCAGAGCCAAGAUAUUCUUUAGAUUAUUUCCCCUCUUAAAAAUCAUUCUAGGGUUAGUUGGAAACUAAGCAUUUGCCUUGG